rnacentral:rRNA from 1 species
CCUACGGGGGGCAGCAGUGGGGAAUAUUGGACAAUGGGGGCAACCCUGAUCCAGCCAUGCCGCGUGUGUGAAGAAGGCCCUCGGGUUGUAAAGCACUUUCAGUGAGGAAGAACGCCUGGUGGUUAAUACCCAUCAGGAAAGACAUCACUCACAGAAGAAGCACCGGCUAACUCCGUGCCAGCAGCCGCGGUAAUACGGAGGGUGCGAGCGUUAAUCGGAAUUACUGGGCGUAAAGCGCGCGUAGGUGGCUUGAUAAGCCGGUUGUGAAAGCCCCGGGCUCAACCUGGGAACGGCAUCCGGAACUGUCAAGCUCGAGUGCAGGAGAGGAAGGUAGAAUUCCCUGUGUAGCGGUGAAAUGCGUAGAGAUCGGGAGGAAUACCAGUGGCGAAGGCGGCCUUCUGGACUGACACUGACACUGAGGUGCGAAAGCGUGGGUAGCAAACAGGAUUAGAUACCCGGGUAGUC